GACGAACGCUGGCGGCGUGCCUAAUACAUGCAAGUAGAACGCACAGUUUAUACCGUAGCUUGCUACACCAUAGACUGUGAGUUGCGAACGGGUUAGUAACGCGUAGGUAACCUGCCUGGCAGCGGGGGAAAACUAGUGGAAACGAUAGCUAAUACCGCAUAAUAUUAAUUAGUGCAUGAAAAUUAAUGGAAAGGUGCAAUUGAACCACGACCAGAUGGACCUGCGUUGUAUUAGCUAGUAGGUGAGGUAACGGCUCACCUAGGCGGCGAUACAUAGCCGACAUGGGAUGGUGCUCGGCCGCACUGCGAGUGUGACCCGGCCCAGACUCCUUCGGGAGGCAGCAGUAGCGCAUCUUCAGCAAUGGAUGAAAGUCUGACCAAACUCCGCCGCGUGCGUAGAGAAGGUUGCCGGAUCGUAAAGCUCUGUUGUAAGAUAAGAACGGGUGUGAGCGUGGAAAGUUCACACUGUGACGGUAUCUUAUCAGAAAGGGCCGGCUAACUACGUG
rnacentral:rRNA from 1 species